AUGACCUGCUCCGGGCAAUGGCGAAGCUGCUGGAGCUUGUGGAGAAGGCUCUUACUAACACUGGGUAACUGGUGUAGUGGACUUGGUAGAGAUUGCACGAUAGUAAAAGAAUUUUAUCAUAUAAUAAAUGCCAGCUUCACAGUAGGAUCAAUGCCUGAAGACAACAAUCUGAACCAUACUCUGUCGCAGGUAAGAUAUGUUGCAGAAUACCUUGACGAUGCAACUUUACAAUCCGAGGAUGUUCUACACGAAAUGAACAAGCAUUAUUGGGGAUUGGACGAUGAUAUGAAAGGCAUGUGCUUUGGCCAAUGA
rnacentral:rRNA from 1 species